rnacentral:rRNA from 1 species
UAGCAUAUCCAUAGCGGAGGAAAAGAAACCAACAGGGAUUGCCCUAGUAACGGCGAGUGAAGCGGCAACAGCUCAAAUUUGAAAUCUGGGUCUUUGGCGUCCGAGUUGUAAUUUGCAGAGGGCGCUUUGGCAUCGGCAGCGGUCCAAGUUCCUUGGAACAGGACGUCACAGAGGGUGAGAAUCCCGUACGUGAUCGCUAGCCUUUACCGUGUAAAGCCCCUUCGACGAGUCGAGUUGUUUGGGAAUGCAGCUCUAAAUGGGAGGUAAAUUUCUUCUAAAGCUAAAUACUGGCCAGAGACCGAUAGCGCACAAGUAGAGUGAUCGAAAGAUGAAAAGCACUUUGGAAAGAGAGUUAAAAAGCACGUGAAAUUGUUGAAAGGGAAGCGCUUGCAGCCAGACUUGCCUGUAGUUGCUCAUCCGGGUUUUUAUCCGGUGCACUCUUCUAUAGGCAGGCCAGCAUCAGUUUGGGCGGUUGGAUAAAGGUCUCUGUCAUGUACCUCUCUUCGGGGAGAACUUAUAGGGGAGACGACAUGCAACCAGCCUGGACUGAGGUCCGCGCAUCUGCUAGGAUGCUGGCGUAAUGGCUGUAAGCGGCCCGUCUUGAAACACGGACCAAGGAGUCUAACAUCUAUGCGAGUGUUUGGGUGUCAAGCCCGAACGCGUAAUGAAAGUGAACGGAGGUGGGAACCUUUCGGGGUGCACCAUCGACCGAUCCUGAUGUCUUCGGAUGGAUUUGAGUAAGAGCAUAGCUGUUGGGACCCGAAAGAUGGUGAACUAUGCUUGAAUAGGGUGAAGCCAGAGGAAACUCUGGUGGAGGCUCGCAGCGGUUCUGACGUGCAAAUCGAUCGUCAAA